AAAUCAAGCUGGAACUCUGUUCAGAUGAUGUUAGCUGACCCCAUGGGGGCAUGGAGUGAAGAUAGUCCCUCAGGGUUGUCCUGACAAGUCCACUGGCCAGGUUUUUAUGCUUCCACCUGGAUGGGUCAUUGCAUAGAAGCUACCCCCAGAGGACCUGGUGGCUGAAGACUGCCCACUGACAGCACAUCCAGCAACUGGACGACAAGUCCUCAAAGGGAGGUCUGGACAGCACAUCACCAUGUCCCCACAGCAAGGGUCACAGCUCCAGAGGGAUGGAGGACACUGAGAUCUUUCUGUCCUGAUUGACUGCACCAUCUUUCUCAAGGAACACUCAUUGGAAAGAGAUCUCCCCAUCACGUGGCUAUACAUGUACAACUGAAAGAAGCCAUUGAAGAUCUUCCUCGUAAAAUUGAUACUGACUUAGAAGAAUCAGGUUCAAACUUGAGUGUUGGACAGAGACAACUGGUGUGCCUUGCCAGGGCUUUUCUCAGGAAAAACAAGAUACUGAUUACUGACAAAACCACAUCAAAUGUGGAUCCAAGGUUUUGGAUUCAGAGAGCCUAGAAGAAAAUGAUGAGCCAUAUGUAUUGGUGCAAAAUAGACAGCCUAUUUUACAAGAUGGUGCAAGAGUUUAGACAAGAGUGAGGCCACUGCCCUCACUGAAAG